rnacentral:tRNA from 1 species
GGGCCUAUAGCUCAGAUGGUUAGAGCGCACGCCUGAUAAGCGUGAGGUCAGUGGUUCAAAUCCACUUAGGCCCA